rnacentral:rRNA from 1 species
UGUUGAGGGAAGACAGCGGGAGAAGAAGGGAAGAGGGCGAGAAAAGCCGAAAAAUAAAACCUCCCCUCCCCUCCCCCUGUUCGUCGUUCUUCUCGGUUCGAUCCACUCCAGCAGCCCCAAAUCCCGGCCCGAUUCCUCCCCAAAUCCAAUCGACUCCCUGCCGAAAUCCACCCUCCCACUGAUCGCCGCAAGCUCCCGGACACGGAGCAAGCAAUUUCGCGCCGCAAGAACUGCUCGCCGUCCGUGGACAAAAGCCCUCGCCCGACUCUCCCAACCUCUUUUCUGUUCGUCCUGACCAUCGUCUUACGCGCCUCGCCGCCAUCGCCGUCGCAGUUCUUCCUCGUCUCGUCUCGACAUCCGCGUUCCUGCUAUCUGCACCCCGUCCGCAGCCUUUGGGUUUCGAGAUCCGCCCUUGAUGGCGGGGGAGGAGGCCGCGGAGGGAAGCGGGAACAGGAGGCGGAUGGAUCUAAACCUGUACCUGGGCCUCCCUCCAUUGCCGCGGCCUCCAGGUCGGCUGGGCGUAGCUAUGGAUCGCCCGCCGCCGCCCAACUCGGCCAUUCCGGUUCCGGAAUCUCCAAGAACAGAUGAGCCUGCAGUAUUACCGGCACCAGAGGAGAUGCCGCCACUGCCCGUUGUAUACUCGCCGUCCAAUGCGCUCUCCACGCCGGAGCUAUCGCUGAUAGAUCCGAUGCUCUUUGAUUGGCUUGAUGGCCUCAGUACGGACAGUGAAGAGGCUCUUGAUGCUGGUGAACCGGCUGUGGUGCGCGACACGCCCUCACAUGAUGCCAAUGUAUCACCACCGCCGCCAGCGCCAUUGUCUCUUCCUGGGCUGGAAGGGGUUCGCCUUGAGUGGGUGGAAAGGCUUUCUCACCCUAUUCUGGUGGCUCCUGCAGCCGGAGCAGAGAUGGUGAGCACGAGGGUGAUGAGUCAAUCUAUGGGGGCUGCGAAUGCAAUUGAAGACAUGACGCCUGAGCUCCGCCUGCAGAGGUUGAUCCAGGUGAGUGAACAACACCGCAUUGUGCGGCCAGGGUCAGUGAACCGCAACCAGCGGGCGACCAGCCCAGAAGCAGAAAGACUGGCGCAAGCCAUCCAGCGGUCUCACAGCUCUCUAGACGCAUCAAGGCGGCAGAAGCUCGAUGGUGAUGGCAAGAUGACAGGAACAGGUGCCGUCAAGAAGGACGGGAACUGUGGGUGCAACUCCAGUUUCGAGUGCAAUAUCUGCCUUGAAGCGGCUAAAGAGCCCGUGGUUACACCGUGCGGCCACCUCUUCUGCUGGCCAUGCUUGUACCAGUGGCUCCAUGGACAUUCAGCCCACUCUGAGUGCCCUGUCUGCAAGGGAGAGGUGCUCGAAGUAAAUGUCACACCAAUAUAUGGAAGAGGAGGCGGUGAAUGGGACGCCUCCAGCAAUGAUGUUCCUCCCAGACCACGCGCAAACAGGAGUGAGAGCUUGAGGCAGCAACUGCAAAUGCCAGACCCAAGAGGCAUUGCAAGCAUGGUGAGACGGUUGAUAGAAAACCAGGAUAUAGUGAGAGGCCAGGCAGCUCCACCUGCAGGCGGGGUUGAGGUGACUGUACUUCCCGCAGCCCGGUCAAGGGCUAGGGUACGGAGACAGCAAAGACACAGUCUUGUUUCACCCUCCCCAAUAAUGCUGCGUGCAAGCAACGCGGCCCCUGAGAGUGGCAAUCAGGUCCGAUUGCCGUCUUCUAAUUCUGUUAAUGCUGCACCCGCAGUUACUCAGCAGUCGUCAUCCAUGGAGCAGGCAUCGACUUCUAGCACCCUGGCUGUUAUAGUGGGACAGGCAGCCCAAAGUAGGAGAUCCAGACCUUCGGAGUCCACAACCACAAGAAGAACAAGGAGGAGGCAGCAGCAGUAGGUAAAAGUGGUGCUGCCAUUUUCUCCAAUAAAACAUAUAUAGAUCAUACUUUGUCUGUACCAUGUCAUGAUGUCAAGCUCCAAAAACAUAGUCAAGAUUAUAAGGUAGGAAUGUAUAUGCUAUUGCUUUGCUCAUGUAUACCUUUUUCAUGGAAAAGGAAUUAUUAGCAUGUAUGUGGGGAUAAAUUUCCCUGAUAUUGCAUCUGUUUGUUUUUCAGUGAAUUGUUAAUUGUUAUCUCUGUACUGUGUAUGCCUAAAUUUGAAGAUAGUUAAUUUCCUCAGCUAAUAGUUUUUGUACCGUCAAGACUGAUGAAUGUAGC